GAUGAACGCUGGCGGCGUGCCUAAUACAUGCAAGUCGAGCGAACGGACGCGAAGCUUGCUGCUCUGAUGUUGGCGACGGACGGGUGAGUAACACGUGGAUUACCUACCUCUAAGGCUGAGAUCACUUCGGGAAACCGUAGCUCAGGCCGGAUGAUAUUUUGAACCGCAUGGUUCAAAAGUGAAUGACGGUGUUGCUUGAGCUUAUGGAUGGAUCGCCGCUGCAUUAGGUAGUUGGUAAGGUAACGGCUUACCAAGGCCACGAUGCAUAGCCGAGGUGAGCGGGGGAUGGGCGACUCUGGAAGUGAACCGCCGUCCUGACUCCUAGGGGAGGCAGCAGUAGGGAAGGGUCGGAAAUGGGCGGAAGCUUGCCGGAGCAACGCCGCGUGAGUGAUGAAGGUCUUCGGAUCGGAAGACUCUGUUAUUAGUGAAGAACACAUGUGUAAGUAACGGUGCACAUCGUGACGGUACCUAAUCAGAAAGCCACGGCUAACUACGUG
rnacentral:rRNA from 1 species